GCCAGGCUCAAUGGCACACGCCUGUAAUCCCAGCAGUUGGGAGGCUGAGGCAGGAGGAUCACAAGUUCAAAGCCAGUCUCAGCAAAAGCGAGGCGCUAAGCAACUCAGUGAGACCCUGUCUCUA
rnacentral:sRNA from 1 species